CCCUGUGAACAUACCUAUAACGUUGCCUCGGCGGGAACAGACGGCCCCGUAACACGGGCCGCCCCCGCCAGAGGACCCCCUAACUCUGUUUCUAUAAUGUUUCUUCUGAGUAAACAAGCAAAUAAAUUAAAACUUUCAACAACGGAUCUCUUGGCUCUGGCAUCGAUGAAGAACGCAGCGAAAUGCGAUAAGUAAUGUGAAUUGCAGAAUUCAGUGAAUCAUCGAAUCUUUGAACGCACAUUGCGCCCGCCAGUAUUCUGGCGGGCAUGCCUGUUCGAGCGUCAUUACAACCCUCAGGCCCCCGGGCCUGGCGUUGGGGAUCGGCGGAAGCCCCCUGCGGGCACAACGCCGUCCCCCAAAUACAGUGGCGGUCCCGCCGCAGCUUCCAUUGCGUAGUAGCUAACACCUCGCAACUGGAGAGCGGCGCGGCCACGCCGUAAAACACCCAACUUCUGAAUGUUGACCUCGAAUCAGGUAGGAAUACCCGCUGAACUUAAGCAUAUCAAUAAGCCCGGAGGAA
rnacentral:rRNA from 1 species